GGGCGCUUGGUCUAGGGGUAUGAUUUUCGCUUCGCAUCAAUCACAAGACGUGUAUGUGAAAGGUCGUGGGUUCAAUUCCCACAGCGUCCA